UAUCUAGUAGCACCUUAGAGAUGAACUAAGUUUGUUCUGGGUAUAAGCUUUUGUGUAUCUGAAGAAGUAUGCAUGGACCCGAAAUCUUAUACCCAGAACAAACUUGGUUGGUCUCUAAGGUGCUACUGGACA